GAAAUAACGCUCACGUAAACGUAGUACGUAAUUUUUUACGCGACGCAACGAUUAAUUUAAUUAAGGUAAUUGUUUCAUGUAAGUAUCCAAUAUAUCUAUUACUGUUACGUACUAUAUUACGUUUAUUAUCGGUUAUUAAGAAGGAAGAAGAUAGUGACGAGGAAAAGACUCGUUCUGAAUCUGCGAAACGUCCAAAUGGAGUGUUUAAUGAUGUUAGUGAAGGAAAAACAGUUUUUCUAAAGAGAUCGUACUGUACAUUUUACAAUUUUAUUUUAACUAAAGUAAAGAUACUAAAUACUAAAUGAUAAAACCAAUAUCACAAUGUUGGCAUGUUAUGUAUUGCAUAUUCAAUUGCUACUUAGCGACUCAAUGAACUGGUGCGCUCCUAGAUACACACAUCAAUUAUGCGCGAUUUGAUGACAACUUAAAGUGAUUAAUAUUGAUUUUCAUCGUUGUUAAGUAAAUAAAGACAGAAGUCACUAAAUAACAAAUUGCAAUUGUUUUUCAUCAAACGUACACGAAGAGGCGAAGGAGAUAGCAUAAAAUUGAGGAACUCUAUACAAAAGCAUAUAGAAAAAGAGACCAGGAUCACUAUAAAUAGAAAUGGAAAAACGAAAUAUUGAUGGCAAUAAAUAUGAAAGUGAUACAGAUGACUCUUCUGAUGGUGAAAUUCAAAUUUCACAUGAAAUGAAUAUUUCAACAUUUAAAGACGUAAUUGAUGAAAAUCAACCCUCUACUUCAACUGCUAAUUACAGUGUAGUUGACAAAUGGUUUGAGUUUGAAAACUUAAACGGAAUGGAUGUCUUAACAUCUAAUGACAUACUUGACAAUUUCCAGUUCUUUGA